rnacentral:rRNA from 1 species
UACGAAGGAGGCUAGCGUUGCUCGGAAUCACUGGGCGUAAAGCGCACGUAGGCGGCUUUCUAAGUCAGGGGUGAAAUCUUGGAGCUCAACUCCAGAACUGCCUUUGAUACUGGAGAGCUCGAGUCCGGGAGAGGUGAGUGGAACUCCGAGUGUAGAGGUGAAAUUCGUAGAUAUUCGCAAGAACACCAGUGGCGAAGGCGGCUCACUGGCCCGGUACUGACGCUGAGGUGCGAAAGCGUGGGGAGCAAACAGG